AUUAAACUAGAGGUGGGGCAACGGUACUGGACGGCAGUCAGGCUCAGGGUCAAGGCAGGCAGGGGUCAUUAAACUAGAGGUGGGGCAACGGUACCGGAUGGCAGUCAGGCUCGGGGUCAGGGUAGGCAGAGGUCAAUAAUACAGAGGUGGG